CAACUUGAGAGUUUGAUCCUGGCUCAGAACGAACGCUUGCGGCAGGCCUAACACAUGCAAGUCGAACGGGCGUAGCAAUACGUCAGUGGCAGACGGGUGAGUAACACGUGGGAACAUACCCCUCGGUUCGGAAUAACUCAGGGAAACUUGAGCUAAUACCGGAUACGGCCGGGAGGCGAAAGAUUUAUCGCCGAGGGAUUGGCCCGCGUCCGAUUAGCUAGUUGGUGAGGUAACGGCUCACCAAGGCGACGAUCGGUAGCUGGUCUGAGAGGAUGAUCAGCCACAUUGGGACUGAGACACGGCCCAAACUCCUACGGGAGGCAGCAGUGGGGAAUAUUGGACAAUGGGCGCAAGCCUGAUCCAGCCAUGCCGCGUGAGUGAUGACGGCCUUAGGGUUGUAAAGCUCUUUUACCUGGGAAGAUAAUGACGGUACCAGGAGAAUAAGCCCCGGCUAACUUCGUGCCAGCAGCCGCGGUAAUACGAAGGGGGCUAGCGUUGUUCGGAAUUACUGGGCGUAAAGCGCGUGUAGGCGGGUCUUUAAGUCAGGGGUGAAAUGCCAAGGCUCAACCUUGGAACUGCCUUUGAUACUGGCAAUCUCGAGUCCGGGAGAGGUGAGUGGAACUGCGAGUGUAGAGGUGAAAUUCGUAGAUAUUCG
rnacentral:rRNA from 1 species